UGAUAAACGAUGAAACAAGUUGAGAAUGA
rnacentral:sRNA from 1 species